rnacentral:lncRNA from 1 species
UUAUUCGUGAAUUAUUAAAAUCUGAAUAAACAGUCUGUACGUGAUUUUUUUUUUCCAAAAAAAUCAGAAUAAAAGAAAAAAAUAUUUGGAUUAUUUAUAUUUAUUAUUCGCGAAUAACUCGUAUAUCGAUCUAUUCGGCUAAAAAAAUGCACAGAAUUUUUGGAUAAAAUUCUUUUUUCCAAUAUAGUUAGUUAAUUUGCGAAUUAUUGUUGAAUUAUUCGCGAAUAUUGAAAAUUUUCAUUAACUUCCGGAAUAUGUACCAAUUGUUGGAAAUAUUAGGGCAGCGGAAACUUACAAACCGUAU